UUUGCUACGUGUGUUUCACUUUCUCUGCUUUUUUGAACAAACCCAAAACUUUUCCAGUUUCUCUCUUUCUUGAAAACACAAAUAUAUUGUUUCCUCUACUCAACAAGUCUUUUCAUUUCACUACCUCAAAUUUCAAACAACUCUCUUUCCUAUCUAAGUCUCCCAUCUUUCUUAUUUCUCUAACCCAUCUUCAUCUUCCACCUUCCUCUGUCUUCAAUUUCUGCGGAAGACGUUUUAGAUCGGUUAAAUCAUUGAUUUUUUUUUAGAUCUGUGACAACUAUCAGUGAUGUUUUUUUAGAUCUAUGAUAUCUAACAAGAUCGAUUUGGUUUUUAACUUUCCUAUUUUUUUGUUUUUCAGGUUCUGUGUUCAUCUUUCUAAUUUGUGUUUGUGUUAACAGGAUUUGAUAGAAGGAAGAUCUAAACUACAAUGAGAUGGAACAAAAAAAUUCAUAUUUGAAAUUAAAGGAAGGACAAAUAUUUUAUUUUCAUAUUGAAAACUCUUCCUACUUCACAUGAGAGAAUAGAGCAGAUUUUUUCUACUGGCCAAUGAAAUGGGUUGAUGGGUGGAAUGAGAUGCAGAAUGGAAAUGUUUUGAGCUUGAUGUUCUAACACUAUCCAACUUGUGUUUUGGCAUAUAAUUUCCUCAUUGAUAUAUUCCUUUAAUAUAUUUCAAAAUAUUAAAUUUAUAUUACCACUUCUACUGUUCGUGUUCCUGUAAAAAAAGUACUGCAAUAGCAUUUAAUUAUUAUUAUUAGCUUUAUUAUCUUUGUUCUUUGCAAUAAAGUAACAAUAAAUAAGUUUGAAUAUAUUGUCUCCUUGCAUUUUUUGGCCGGUUAAAACGAAAUAUUAUACGAAAUCUUAUAUAAGCAUAUUUAAAUAAUAAAAUAUUUUAAUAAAUUUAAAUUAUUUUUAACUUUAGAUAUAAUUUAAUUUUUUUAUUAAUAUAGAAACAUUUACUUAUACACCUAAAAAAAUAAAAAAAUAUAUAUAGAAAAAAUAAAACUUAUAUAAAUCUAACUCAGAUUUUAUCUUUUAAAACUUAUUUUUUUAA